rnacentral:tRNA from 1 species
GAAUCUAUGGCAUAAUAGUAGUAUAUUUGAUUCUAAACCAAAUGAUUGUCUAUUUGAUUUAAGUUAGGUUCA